rnacentral:rRNA from 1 species
UGUUUCGGCUAGGGGGCCAUCCCGGCUUACCAACCCGAUGCAAACUGCGAAUACCGGAGAAUGUUAUCACGGGAGACACACGGCGGGUGCUAACGUCCGUCGUGAAGAGGGAAACAACCCAGACCGCCAGCUAAGGUCCCAAAGUCAUGGUUAAGUGGGAAACGAUGUGGGAAGGCCCAGACAGCCAGGAUGUUGGCUUAGAAGCAGCCAUCAUUUAAAGAAAGCGUAAUAGCUCACUGGUCGAGUCGGCCUGCGCGGAAGAUGUAACGGGGCUAAACCAUGCACCGAAGCUGCGGCAGCGACACUGUGUGUUGUUGGGUAGGGGAGCGUUCUGUAAGCCUGUGAAGGUGGCCUGUGAGGGUUGCUGGAGGUAUCAGAAGUGCGAAUGCUGACAUAAGUAACGAUAAAGCGGGUGAAAAGCCCGCUCGCCGGAAGACCAAGGGUUCCUGUCCAACGUUAAUCGGGGCAGGGUGAGUCGACCCCUAAGGCGAGGCCGAAAGGCGUAGUCGAUGGGAAACGGGUUAAUAUUCCCGUACUUGGUGUUACUGCGAAGGGGGGACGGAGAAGGCUAUGUUGGCCGGGCGACGGUUGUCCCGGUUUAAGCGUGUAGGUGUGUGUUCCAGGUAAAUCCGGUUCACUUUAACACUGAGGCGUGACGACGAGGCACUACGGUGCUGAAGCAACAAAUGCCCUGCUUCCAGGAAAAGCCUCUAAGCAUCAGGUAACAUCAAAUCGUACCCCAAACCGACACAGGUGGUCAGGUAGAGAAUACCAAGGCGCUUGAGAGAACUCGGGUGAAGGAACUAGGCAAAAUGGUGCCGUAACU